rnacentral:rRNA from 1 species
UACGUAGGGUGCAAGCGUUAUCCGGAAUUAUUGGGCGUAAAGAGCUCGUAGGCGGUUUGUCGCGUCUGCUGUGAAAACUGGAGGCUCAACCUCCAGCCUGCAGUGGGUACGGGCAAACUAGAGUGCGGUAGGGGAGAUUGGAAUUCCUGGUGUAGCGGUGGAGUGCGCAGAUAUCAGGAGGAACACCGAUGGCGAAGGCAGAUCUCUGGGCCGAGACUGACGCUGAGGCGCGAAAGCGUGGGGAGCAAACAGG